AAUCAACGCUGGCGGCGUGCCUCAGACAUGCAAGUCGAACGCGAAAUCCCGAGCAAUCGGGAGAGUAGAGUGGCGCACGGGUGAGUAACACGUAGGUAAUCUACCUUCGGAUGGGGAAUAACAACCGGAAACGGUUGCUAAUACCGCAUAAUGCAGCGGCACCUAAUGGUGACAGUUGUUAAAGCGGGGGAUCGAAAGACCUCGCGUCUGAAGAGGAGCCUGCGGCGGAUUAGCUAGUUGGUAAGGUGAUGGCUUACCAAGGCAACGAUCCGUAACCGGCCUGAGAGGGCGGUCGGUCACACUGACACUGACAUACGGGUCAGACUCCUACGGGAGGCAGCAGUCGGGAAUUUUGGGCAAUGGGCGAAAGCCUGACCCAGCAACGCCGCGUGAAGGAUGAAAUCCCUCGGGAU
rnacentral:rRNA from 1 species